AGCGAACGCUGGCGGCAGGCCUAAUACAUGCAAGUCGAGCGCACCUUCGGGUGAGCGGCGGACGGGUGAGUAACGCGUGGGAACGUGCCCUUUGGUACGGAACAACUGAGGGAAACUUCAGCUAAUACCGUAUGUGCCCUUCGGGGGAAAGAUUUAUCGCCAUUGGAGCGGCCCGCGUUGGAUUAGCUAGUUGGUAGGGUAAAAGCCUACCAAGGCUACGAUCCAUAGCUGGUCUGAGAGGAUGAUCAGCCACACUGGGACUGAGACACGGCCCAGACUCCUACGGGAGGCAGCAGUAGGGAAUCUUGCGCAAUGGGCGAAAGCCUGACGCAGCCAUGCCGCGUGAAUGAUGAAGGUCUUAGGAUUGUAAAAUUCUUUCACCGGGGAAGAUAAUGACGGUACCC
rnacentral:rRNA from 1 species